UACGUAGGGUGCAAGCGUUAAUCGGAAUUACUGGGCGUAAAGCGUGCGCAGGCGGUUUUGUAAGUCAGAUGUGAAAUCCCCGGGCUUAACCUGGGAACUGCAUUGGUGACUGGCAGGCUUUGAGUGUGGCAGAGGGAGGUAGAAUUCCACGUGUAGCAGUGAAAUGCGUAGAGAUGUGGAGGAAUACCGAUGGCGAAGGCAGCCUCCUGGGCCAACACUGACGCUCAUGCACGAAAGCGUGGGGAGCAAACAGG
rnacentral:rRNA from 1 species